rnacentral:rRNA from 1 species
UACGUAGGGUGCGAGCGUUAAUCGGAAUUACUGGGCGUAAAGCGUGCGCAGGCGGCGCGUUAAGACAGGUGUGAAAGCCCCGAGCUUAACUUGGGAAUUGCGCUUGUGACUGGCGUGCUGGAGUGUGGCAGAGGGAGGUGGAAUUCCACGUGUAGCAGUGAAAUGCGUAGAGAUGUGGAGGAACACCGGUGGCGAAGGCGGCCAACUGGACCAUUACUGACGCUGAGGCGCGAAAGCGUGGGGAGCAAACAGG